ACCAACCAUACCACCAUGAAUGAGCCUGAUCUCCUCUGAUCUUGGAAGCUAAGCAGGGUCAGGCCUGGUUAGUAUAUGGAUGGGAGAAAGGGAAGGAAUCUAGUAGGUA
rnacentral:rRNA from 1 species